UUUCGCUGCGACCGGGGGAAACGCCCGGUCCCAUUCCGAACCCGGAAGCUAAGACCCACAGCGCCGAUGGUACUGCACCCGGGAGGGUGUGGGAGAGUAGGUCACCGCCGGAA
rnacentral:rRNA from 1 species